rnacentral:rRNA from 1 species
GACGAACGCUGGCGGCGUGCCUAAUACAUGCAAGUUGAGCGCUGAAGGUUGGUACUUGUACCAACUGGAUGAGCAGCGAACGGGUGAGUAACGCGUGGGGAAUCUGCCUUUGAGCGGGGGACAACAUCUGGAAACGAAUGCUAAUACCGCAUAAAAACUUUAAACACAAGUUUUAAGUUUGAAAGAUGCAAUUGCAUCACUCAAAGAUGAUCUCGCGUUGUCUUAGCUAGUUGGUGAGGUAAAGGCUCACCAAGGCGAUGAUACAUAGCCGACCUGAGAGGGGGGUCGGCCACAUUGGGACUGAGACACGGCCCAAACUCCUACGGGAGGCAGCAGUAGGGAAUCUUCGGCAAUGGACGAAAGUCUGACCGAGGAACGCCGCGUGAGUGAAGAAGGUUUUCGGAUCGUAAAACUCUGUUGAUAGAGGAGAACGUUGGUGAGAGUGGAAAGCUCAUCAAGUGACGGUAACUACCCAGAAAGGGACGGCUAACUACGUG